UACGGAAGGCAGCAGUGGGGAAUAUUGCACAAUGGGCGCAAGCCUGAUGCAGCCAUGCCGCGUGUAUGAAGAAGGCCUUCGGGUUGUAAAGUACUUUCAGUCGUGAGGAAGGUGUUAAGGUUAAUAACCUUAGCAAUUGACGUUAGCGACAGAAGAAGCACCGGCUAACUCCGUGCCAGCAGCCGCGGUAAUACGGAGGGUGCGAGCGUUAAUCGGAAUUACUGGGCGUAAAGGGCACGCAGGCGGUUAAUUAAGUUGGAUGUGAAAUCCCCGGGCUUAACCUGGGAAUGGCAUUCAAGACUGGUUAGCUAGAGUCUUGUAGAGGGGGUAGAAUUCCAUGUGUAGCGGUGAAAUGCGUAGAGAUGUGGAGGAAUACCGGUGGCGAAGGCGGCCCCGUGGACAAAGACUGACGCUCAUGUGCGAAAGCGUGGGGAGCGAAACAGGGAUUAGAUACC
rnacentral:rRNA from 1 species